AAACAACGUCCACCAUCCAAUUCUACAAGCUAAUUAAACAGCAGGGCUAAGCAGCAAAACCAGCUGGAAGAUGGAGUAAACCCCAAACCUGGGAGCACCAAAGCAGGGUCCAUUCACCUGAGACAUGCUGACCCUUAUCACUCCCAUGGACUUCAGAGAGCAGUGAUCCCGAUUUGAAAGUAGCAAGAAUAAUUUAAAAGAAAAGAAAGACAACUUCAAACAUGAGAUGCAACCAAAAGACAUUUUACAGGAUGAAAGAACAAACGUGAG